rnacentral:rRNA from 1 species
UACAGAGGGUGCGAGCGUUGUCCGGAAUCACUGGGCGUAAAGGGCGCGUAGGUGGCCUGAUAAGUAGGGGGUGAAAUCUCGAGGCUCAACUUCGAGGCUGCCUCCUAAACUGUCAGGCUUGAGCAGAGUAGAGGCAGGUGGAAUUCCCGGUGUAGCGGUGGAAUGCGUAGAUAUCUGAAGGAACACCGGUGGCGAAGGCGGCAUCCUGGACCAAUACUGACACUGAGGAGCGAAAGCCAGGGGAGCAAACGGG